UAGUGUGUGCGUGUGUGAGGUCGACCAGGAGAAAGCUCAGGGAGCUCAAACCCUAACUUCCACAACUUGAUCAAAUUGAAGCCCAAAUCAAGAGCCAAAUCACUGCAUGAACACAAAUUCGUGAUCACCUAAUCAUGGGGAUUACAAGUUUGACGCGUCACAAGCUAGGUGGAAGCUUGGAGUGAAAGCGGGUCAAACAAGUCAAGCAUGGAAGAAAAGCGUAGCUCGGAUGCAAGGUAAGUGAAACUUACAUAAUUGUGUAGAUUACUUGUUCAUUCUAUACGUUAUAGAUGCAAUAAUGCUAAUAUUGAAAAUAUGGAUUUCCGACGUGAUUGAUACGAGUCGGAACAUAUAAAGAUGAUAAAAACCAUGUUUAUGGCAAAAAGGGGAUUCGGUAAUGAAAUCCGGGACGGGAUGGAUGUAUGAAUUAGAAGUCAAAAACCAUGUUUUUGAUUUAAUAGGCAACGUUGGGCAUAUAGGCCGAACGGGUCAAAUGGUGGUGAUAACACUAUUUGACAAUAUCGACUAAUGCGAUUGUCAAGUCUUGUGUUAACAGGAGCGAUUAGCGAUUCAGUUAAUUUCGCCCACACUAAGUGUGAUGAUAAAAGCAAGGUAUAAAUUGGGUCUAUAUGUUGACCCUAGCCAGGUACGUAUGCAUACGAUUAUAGUUAACAUACAAACUUGGUCAAAUAGGUAGUGGAAGCCCCUCGUAGUAAAUGAGGGGCUAAUGUCGACUAAAAUGCCCUUGAAGGGCAAAUUGAGCAAACAACUUAUAAAGGUUGUUUAGGAACUUAUCUUACGAUCUUGUAACCUUUAGACGCGCAUGAAAGUUGUAGACAUAAACUUUCAAGAGUUAAAUGCUUAAAUUGUGUGUUGCCGCAAAAAUAACACAUCCGUAGGAUUAAACUCGGAAUAAAUAGUCCAUUUCGUUAAAUCCACCACAUUCAUAGUUGUGGUGGAAGACUAGCUAAUAACAAAUUGGUGGAACUAUGAG
rnacentral:lncRNA from 1 species